rnacentral:lncRNA from 1 species
GCUCGGGGGGUGCUCUGGAAAGCCCCGCUGUUAUUAAUAAGUCACAUUUAACCUCCUCUUGUUCUCAGAACACCCUCCACUCUGGGCGGAAGGGAACAAGCCUCACCAGCCACCUGGGGGCAAAGGGGAUCUCUCAACCGCUUCCCCGGGGGCCGAGGCAAUAAUAGCCCCUUAAAUAUGCACUUCCUCCAACGGGUCAUGACACUCGCUUCACUGUGAUUGCAGCAGAGGAUAUGGGGUGACAUCAGCCUGGAAGAUUCUCAGCUGGUCCGGGACUGAGGGUGAGGCCAACGAGACCUUCAGCUAAGCUACGAAAUUUAAGGGGACACCACAAGAACCCAGUAAGCAAGAUAAAUAAUCUUUAAUGCAAAAUUUGUAAGAAUCAAACUUAAUGCAAAAACAAUCUGAGAUGAACAAAGUCUCAACACUUUAAAUAAACACGUGAUCUAAAGUCCA